rfam:Chaetomium globosum CBS 148.51 scaffold_5 genomic scaffold, whole genome shotgun sequence.
GGGCGUAUGGUCUAGUGGUAUGAUUUCUGUUUUGCAAGGAAAUUUCUUGAAUACAGACGGUCCCGCGUUCGAUCCGCGGUACGUCCA